rnacentral:tRNA from 1 species
AUUUUUAUAGUGUAUUUAACACUUAACAUUUUCAUUGUUAAAAAGCUUUAGCUAAAAAUA